CGUUGUUUGGCCCUAUAAAAAUGCGUCACUCCGUGUGCGUCUUCCAUCUCGGAUGCGCCAUCAUCCCUGCUCCUUCACUCCUGACACCCCUUCCGUCGAACACAAUGUGAGCUCUGCCCUGUUGGUGUCUGAUGAAGCGCCGCCGACGGCACCGUGGAGUGCCUAGGGUUCUAUCAGGCCGCUCGCAGGUCAUGGGCCCGCGCGAUUCCGCAGCGUCGUGAUCCUCCAGCACGGGCGUGCCGCCGCCAUCAAGACGAACCGGCGCCGCCUUCGGUCGCUGUCAUCGCAGGUAGCGGCAGCAUGUACGCAUCAGGAGCGGGCGCCUCUUCUUUCGUGCUCUCGCUAGAUCCUCCCAGCAGCAAGUCACCCUCUCCACCACGCCCUUUUCCUGCGGACUACGGGAGUCAAAUGCUAGCUGGCCCUUGAUCUGAAUGAACAGACCUGCAACCGGUGCUUGAUACGGAAGCAUGAAUAGUGCAAGAGCUAGCAAAGUCACCGAUCGCCAUACAGAAUGCCAACGUGGGAAGGUGGAAGCACAAAUAGAAGCAGUGUGAAGCUGCUAUUUUUUCCUCGCCGGCUACAGAUCAAGCGUCUUGGUCAGCGAUGUGUUACAUACGUUAUUUCUCCAGCACAAGUUCUCCCAAUCAGCACAGAUUUGGCGACGCCCCCCUUUCGUUGUCCUCUCGAUGGCGGGAUUACUUCCGUCUCUGGUGCAGCGACGGCGUUCGGUGAUUGUUUCUCGCCUUCAGAAGAUAAGCUCUCAAAGCACAAGACUCUCUUCAGCUUACUGAAAACUACUUACUGAAAACUUUCUUACGCACAAAACUUCUUGCGGAUAUGUAAACAUGAACUGACAGGACAACUUCAUAAUCUUGCACGUUUUUAACUUAGGACCUACUAUUUGUCUCGCCUCAUUCAUCUACAUGCGAGUCCUCUUGAGAGUCAAUUAAUGACUGCAUAUGCUUUGAUUUGAUUCCCACUGACUAAUGGUUUCAUGACCUGUGUUUCUUUUCUCAUAUUGGCUGGUUGCAUGACAAUUGGUGUUAGUGACUUCCUUUCGUUUAAGUUUGAUUUAGUAUUUGUAGGGAUGCAUCUGUAUGAGGAUUCUCAUCAUUAAUUGGUGGGUUGGUUUAGCAAAAAAAAUGACAAGUGUGCAUGCAACAAUGGGUGGACUAUGCAGAAUUUUUUCUAUAUUUUAUUUAUGGCCAAUGAGGACUGGUGACGGUUGCUACU